rnacentral:rRNA from 1 species
AUUGAACGCUGGCGGCAGGCCUAACACAUGCAAGUCGAGCGGCGCGGGGGACGGGUGAGGAAGGCAUAGGAAGCUGCCUGGCAGUGGGGGAGGGGGUCAGGAAGCGGACGCUAGUACAGCAUCUUAUCAGCUGAACCUUUGUGGGAUUAGCUAGUUGGUGGGGUAAAGGCCAACCAAGGCGACGAACCGUCACUGGGCGGAGAGGAUGAGCAGUCACCCUGGAACUGAGACACGGUCCAGACUCCUACGGGAGGCAGCAGUGGGGAAUAUUGGACAAGGGGCGAAAGCCUGAUCCAGCCAUGCCGCGUGUGUGAAGAAGGUCUUCGGUUUGUAAAGCACUUUUAGUUGGGAGGCGUUACCUGCAGAAUAAGCACCGGCUAACUACGUGCCAGCAGCCGCGGUAAUUC